rnacentral:rRNA from 1 species
UACGUAGGUGGCAAGCGUUAUCCGGAUUUAUUGGGCGUAAAGGGAACGCAGGCGGUCUUUUAAGUCUGAUGUGAAAGCCUUCGGCUUAACCGGAGUAGUGCAUUGGAAACUGGGAGACUUGAGUGCAGAAGAGGAGAGUGGAACUCCAUGUGUAGCGGUGAAAUGCGUAGAUAUAUGGAAGAACACCAGUGGCGAAAGCGGCUCUCUGGUCUGUAACUGACGCUGAGGCACGAAAGCGUGGGUAGCAAACAGG